GAUGAACGCUGGCGGCGUGCCUAAUACAUGCAAGUCGAGCGAACAGACGAGGAGCUUGCUCCUCUGACGUUAGCGGCGGACGGGUGAGUAACACGUGGAUAACCUACCUAUAAGACUGGGAUAACUUCGGGAAACCGGAGCUAAUACCGGAUAAUAUAUUGAACCGCAUGGUUCAAUAGUGAAAGACGGUUUUGCUGUCACUUAUAGAUGGAUCCGCGCCGCAUUAGCUAGUUGGUAAGGUAACGGCUUACCAAGGCAACGAUGCGUAGCCGACCUGAGAGGGUGAUCGGCCACACUGGAACUGAGACACGGUCCAGACUCCUACGGGAGGCAGCAGUAGGGAAUCUUCCGCAAUGGGCGAAAGCCUGACGGAGCAACGCCGCGUGAGUGAUGAAGGUCUUCGGAUCGUAAAGCUCUGUUAUUAGGGAAGAACAAAUGUGUAAGUAACUCUGGACGUCUUGACGUUACCAAAUCAGAAAGCCACGGCUAACUACGUG
rnacentral:rRNA from 1 species